UAGGGAAUUUUCGUCAAUGGGGGGAACCCUGAACGAGCAAUGCCGCGUGUGUGAAGAAGGUCUUCGGAUCGUAAAGCACUGUUGUAAGUGAAGAAUGCCACAUAGAGGAAAUGCUAUGUGGGUGACGGUAGCUUACCAGAAAGCCACGGCUAACUACGUGCCGGCAGCCGCGGUAAUACGUAGGUGACAAGCGUUAUCCGGAAUCAUUGGGCGUAAAGGGUGCGUAGGUGGCACGAUAAGUCUGAAGUAAAAGGCAACAGCUCAACUGUUGUAUGCUUUGGAAACUGUCGAGCUAGAGUGCAGAAGAGGGCGAUGGAAUUCCAUGUGUAGCGGUAAAAUGCGUAGAUAUAUGGAGGAACACCAGUGGCGAAGGCGGUCGCCUGGUCUGUAACUGACACUGAUGCACGAAAGCGUGGGGAGCGAACAGGAUUAGAUACC
rnacentral:rRNA from 1 species